rnacentral:lncRNA from 1 species
CACUGACCCUGUUUCAGAAGAAUAUUUUAGAAAGACUAUCAUUUACCAAGAAUUAUAAAAUUUUCAAUCACUUUAGUUUCACUUCAGUUACAUUUUUAUUUUGUUAUAGUCAAGUGAAUAUUAUGCUUUUAGUAUAAAUUUAAAUAUGAAAUUGUGAAAAGGUACAUCAGAUGAUAUACAUUAGUUCUACCUGCACUAGAGAAAAUGAAUGUGCAGAAUAUUUAGCAAAAACAGUCAGAUGAAUUGGAUUUCUGUUGGGCUUUCUACUCUCUUUGUCCAGGUUAGGCUUGGCCACAAGAGAAUCUUGUGUGAUAUUGAAAAUGUGGAUGUGAAGCAGCAGCCAUGAUUCUGAGUAUCCUUUGCUGACACUCCCAUGUGGCUUUGUGUAGAACAAUGAUCCAUAGCCAGGAUGCCCACAGACAUCACACUGGCUGUUCUGAGAAGAAUGAAUGACAAGAGACAAAGAAUGAAAGGAAGGCAAAGAUUCUGGGAAGAUGAUGUUAGGACUCAGAAAACAACACCCCAAAAUAAAAGCCUCAGAAGCAAUAGUUUUUCUCUGAUCUUUUCCUGCACUCGUCUCUCAGUUCAAUUCUCCUCCAAGGCUAGCCAUAGAAACUGAGUUCCUUUUCCCCAAAGCCAGCCAUGAAAACUAAAAAUGUUACUCUAAUUUUCCCCUCACCUUUCUGUGUAAACAACUGGCCAUAAAGAAGUUAUCUGACCUACCUUGUUUGAAUGGGAGUCAUAAGCCCCCAUUCCAGAGAGGAUCCUGUCCCAUACCCAGAAGGAACAAAUGCAGG